GGAUUGUGGCUCAGCUGUAGAGUACUCGCCUAGCACGAGGAAGGCCCUGGGUUCAAUCCUCAGCACCA
rnacentral:tRNA from 1 species